UAACCGCAGUGAGCGGAACACGGAACCUGACUGUUCCACAAACCCGUUCUCCAGCAGCGCCCUUCAAGGGUAAGGUCGACCCACAACAACCCAAAACCCAAUGUUACAGUACAGUGUGUCAAUACGCGACAGGGAUCCAGAGGACAUUAGAGCACCAAGCUGCUGGAGUAGCAGGCUGAACAACUGUCGGGAAACCGGUCGCGCGCCCGGGAUACCCCUUGACCCCUUCCAGUUCCUAGCCGCGGCUCCGGAGCCGCACCCCAGACCUGAAGUUGGACCAGGCAAAGUGCAAGGCGAGCUGGAAGUUGGGGUCCGCUUCAUCCUGAAGGCCAGCGACAUGGCGAACAAGCUCCCGAACGUCGCGCUCCUGCUGUGGGUCCAGUUGGCUCCAAGACGGCACAGGCCGGAACAUCCUGCUCUAACUUCCACAGCGAAGCCCUUCAGUGAGUCCGUUCCUGGUCUCGCGAGAGUUCACGCUCCCACCGAUUUGCUCCUCCAGAGGGUCAGGCCGGCUGUCGCGAGAGUUCAAUUCUAGCUCCUGCAGCAUUGUGUAGGUCACACUACAUGGUCCAUACUACGGCAAGUGUCAGCAAAGUGGCUUGUCUGGCAGAGGCAGACAGGCUGAGCACUGCUCCUCCUGCUCUCACUGGCUUGUGAUUGGGAGCUGCCGAAGGACUUUAUAAUUCCUGUUGACCAAAGAUGGAGUAUUGUCUUUGUUGUUUAUAAUUAAAACUGUAUCUGUGAA